rnacentral:rRNA from 1 species
ACGAACGCUGGCGGCGUGCUUAACACCUGCAAGUCGAGCGGUAAGGCCUUUCGGGGUACACGAGCGGCGAACGGGUGAGUAACACGUGGGUGAUCUGCCCUGCACUUCGGGAUAAGCCUGGGAAACUGGGUCUAAUACCGGAUAUGACCUCCUAUCGCAUGGUGGGUGGUGGAAAGAUUUAUCGGUGCAGGAUGGGCCCGCGGCCUAUCAGCUUGUUGGUGGGGUAAUGGCCUACCAAGGCGACGACGGGUAGCCGACCUGAGAGGGUGACCGGCCACACUGGGACUGAGACACGGCCCAGACUCCUACGGGAGGCAGCAGUGGGGAAUAUUGCACAAUGGGCGAAAGCCUGAUGCAGCGACGCCGCGUGAGGGAUGACGGCCUUCGGGUUGUAAACCUCUUUCAGCAGGGACGAAGCGCAAGUGACGGUACCUGCAGAAGAAGCACCGGCUAACUACGUGC